UAUGUUUAUAAAAAGAGCGUCAUCCACUGUUUAUCAAAAUCGAAACCCUCGUCUUCCUCAUACUCUACACCCACACGAAAUAAUUAGUUUUAGGAAUUGUAGCUGAAUUUAUUGCUCAUGACUGAUUCUAGGUAUGCAUUCAUCCAAAUUUAUGCAUAUGUUCGAGUAUAAAAGAGAGAGCAGAAUCCCUAGAUCUAUUGACGCCGCUGCAUCUUCUUGGUUCUUCUUCUUCCAUUGGCGCCGUUGCAUUCAUUUCACGCCGAUUAUUGUUCCGCUCCAGUCCCCAUCAUCUCCGCCACCGCGAAACAACACAAAACGUAAGUAUCUGUUGGGGAUGGUCUCAGUUGCAUGCAAGAGGAGACGAUUAUCGGGAAGCAAUCUCUGAUGGCAGUUGCUGAUCGCCAAUUACUUUCAAGAGGUAGGAGGGCAUCAAACUGAGUGGAAUUUGGUAAAGAUUUUGGAGAAUGGCUCAGCAGUCGUCGCGGCUUCAUCGGCUGCUCACUUUGUUAGAUACGGGUUCAACCCAGGCUACAAGGUUUUCUGCAGCAAGGCAGAUAGGUGAAAUUGCCAAAUCACAUCCUCAGGACCUGAAUGCUCUCCUGAGUAAGGU